AAUAAUAGAAAAGGUAAGAGGCAAGGAGCUUAUCGUUCCAGUUGGUUUGCUUGUAUAUCUCACUAGCAGACCACAACUCCUCCACUACUUUUCUUCCUUACAUCAACAUAAUAGUUAGUAGUAUAGAUAAUAGUGCAGCACAAAAAUUAUACCUGAGAGCUUCUCAUGCUGAUAACGUGUUAUAAAAUGAACUGGGAUAUGUGCGAAUAUUGAGCUGCACGUGAAGUAGAUGAGACACAGCAUUUAACGAGGUUCGGCUAUGCCUACGUCCUCGGAGAGCAGCAGCAGUAACUUUUCACUAUAUGAAAUAAUAUGGCUACAAAUUUAGUGUUUACAAUAUGUAUGGCUCACUCAAUUUUCUCUCUUGGAGAAUUCCUUUCUUGCUCUCUUUCCUCUCAACUCACUCACCCUCUUUCUUCCUUCUCUUCCUCUUCUCUAUGUGUAAACUUCUCUUGAUGGAGGUAUCUAUUUAUAGGCCUAAGACAUUGGUUGUUCACCUCACAAUAUAAUUGGUAGACAACAUCAUUCAUAUUCUUCAAUCAACAACAUCAUUAAUAUUCUUCAAUCAAUUGGGUAGUGGUUUGGUUUGGUGGGUGUGUGGUUAGGUUUGGUGGGUGUUAGUUGGCUAUGUGGGCUUCACCUAUUCUUCUUUACUUAUUCUUCUUUACAACAUUUUUUUCUUUUUCUGCUUUUUUUUUCUCUUCUUUUUUUAUUUUUUUAUUGUUUUAUUUUUAAUAGUCAAUAAAUUACUUUAGAGCACUUCCAUUCCAAAAGGCAAUGGUAAGGCAAAGGCAAGGCUAUAGCAAACACUAUUUACGUGAAUAGUGUCAGUCUUGUCUUUUUUAGUUCCAUCCCAAACGGCUAAGGCAAGGGCAAACACUAUUCCUUUUACUUUAUUUUCAAUUUUUUUAUACUUAACUAUUAAUUUUGAUAACUUUUCAGAUAAUAUUUUCGGUUGCCACGUGUCACUAUUUAUUAUAAAAUUCUCACUUAAAAUUUCAAAUAACAUUUUUGGAUUAAAUUUUUGAAUUAAAUUUUCGGAUAAGAUUUUCGGUUGCCAUGUGUCCAUCAAAUUUCAGAAAAAAAUUUCAUAUGAGACUCUCUGUUGCCGCAUGUCUUAUUUCAGAAAAUAUUUUUGGAUAUUUAUUUAAAAAUAUUAUAAUGUGAAGAUUUGGCGUGGAAAGUGAAUGAUGAGAGUGGAAAGUAAAAAAUAUUUGAAGAAGAAGAGUUUGUAUGAAGAUUUGGUGUGGAAAGUGAAUAAAAUUGUUAGGUAUUUAUAGGGAAAAAAUAUAUAAUUUUUUGGUUUUUUUUUUUUUAAAAUUCGGAAUUUUUUCAAAUUUUUUUGCAGGCUUUUUAGCCAAAAAAAAUGAGUUCAGUUUGAUUUCUA
rnacentral:lncRNA from 1 species